rnacentral:rRNA from 1 species
CCAGCAAUGCCGCGUGAGUGAAGAAGGCCUUCGGGUUGUAAAGCUCUUUUGUCAGGGAAGAAACGGUAGUAGCGAAUAACUAUUACUAAUGACGGUACCUGAAGAAUAAGCACCGGCUAACUACGUGCCAGCAGCCGCGGUAAUACGUAGGGUGCAAGCGUUAAUCGAAAUUCCUGGGCGUAAAGCGUGCUUAGGCGGUUUGGUAAGUCGGAGGUGAAAUCCCCGGGCUCAACCUGGGAAUUGCAUUUGAGACUGCAUGGCUAGAGUGUGUCAGAGGGGGGUAGAAUUCCACGUGUAGCGGUGAAAUGCGUAGAUAUGUGUAGGAAUACCGAUGGCGAAGGCAACCCCCUGGGAUAACACUGACGCUCAUGCACGAAAGCGUGGGGAGCAAACAGGAUUAGAUACCCUGGUA